GGUUAAGUGAAUAAGGGCGCACGGUGGAUGCCUUGGCACUAGGAGCCGAUGAAGGACGGGACUAACACCGAUAUGCUUCGGGGAGCUGUAAGUAAGCUUUGAUCCGGAGAUUUCCGAAUGGGGAAACCCAGCAUCUUUUAUAGGAUGUUACUUUUCAGUGAAUACAUAGCUGAUUAGAGGUAGACGCAGAGAACUGAAACAUCUAAGUACCUGCAGGAAGAGAAAGAAAAUUCGAUUCCCUGAGUAGCGGCGAGCGAAAC
rnacentral:rRNA from 1 species